GCUGGCGGCAUGCUUUACACAUGCAAGUCGAACGGCAGCGCGGGGCAACCUGGCGGCGAGUGGCGAACGGGUGAGUAAUAUAUCGGAACGUACCCAAGAGUGGGGGAUAACGUAGCGAAAGUUACGCUAAUACCGCAUACGAUCUAAGGAUGAAAGCAGGGGACCGCAAGGCCUUGUGCUCCUGGAGCGGCCGAUAUCUGAUUAGCUAGUUGGUAGGGUAAAGGCCUACCAAGGCGACGAUCAGUAGCUGGUCUGAGAGGACGACCAGCCACACUGGAACUGAGACACGGUCCAGACUCCUACGGGAGGCAGCAGUGGGGAAUUUUGGACAAUGGGCGCAAGCCUGAUCCAGCAAUGCCGCGUGAGUGAAGAAGGCCUUCGGGUUGUAAAGCUCUUUUGUCAGGGAAGAAACGGUAGAGGCUAAUAUCCUUUGCUAAUGACGGUACCUGAAGAAUAAGCACCGGCUAACUACGUGCCAGCAGCCGCGGUAAUACGUAGGGUGCAAGCGUUAAUCGGAAUUACUGGGCGUAAAGCGUGCGCAGGCGGUUUUGUAAGUCUGUCGUGAAAGCCCCGGGCUCAACCUGGGAAUUGCGAUGGAGACUGCAAGGCUUGAAUCUGGCAGAGGGGGGUAGAAUUCCACGUGUAGCAGUGAAAUGCGUAGAGAUGUGGAGGAACACCGAUGGCGAAGGCAGCCCCCUGGGUCAAGAUUGACGCUCAUGCACGAAAGCGUGGGGAGCAAACAGGAUUAGAUACCCUGGUAGUCCACGCCCUAAACGAUGUCUACUAGUUGUCGGGUUUUAAUUAACUUGGUAACGCAGCUAACGCGUGAAGUAGACCGCCUGGGGAGUACGGUCGCAAGAUUAAAACUCAAAGGAAUUGAC
rnacentral:rRNA from 1 species